GCGUGGGUGAAGAAGGCCUUCGGGUUGUAAAGCCCUUUCGGCGGGGAAGAUGAUGACGGUACCCGCGGAAGAAGCCCCGGCUAACUCCGUGCCAGCAGCCGCGGUAAGACGGAGGGGGCUAGCGUUGUUCGGAAUUACUGGGCGUAAAGGGCACGCGGGCGGUCUGUCGCGUUGGGCGUGAAAGCCCCGGGCUUAACCUGGGAACGGCGCUCGAUACGGACGGGCUUGAGACCGGGAGAGGGUAGUGGAAUUCCCAGUGUAGAGGUGAAAUUCGU
rnacentral:rRNA from 1 species